rnacentral:antisense_RNA from 1 species
ACAGGAUACCUCCAAUUCAAAAGGAGGAUCCAGCAUAAUAGAGGCCAGACAGGUGAUUUGCAUACUCAAGAGAAGAAGCCAUAAUAGAAGAAGGCAGAGGAGGAUUCUGUGUUGAAAGCAAGCAAAGAUGGGCACAAUCUGACCGGAGCUUCCGUAAACUUCUCAUGGGAACACCUGGCUCGUUUUUCCUGCUGGGAGAUGGCAGGUUCUUGCAUUUGAUACUUGAGUGGGCCAGCUGGGGUAACUGGACAAGGUCUGACUCUGGGCCUGCAUCACUUUCGCGGGCUGGCAAUUCUUUUCCACCCUGAGCAUCUGUAGAGUCAUCCAACUGUGUUUGCAAAACUUGGUUGUAUGUGAGAAGUGUGUUUGUUUUAUGAUCAGUGUCUUGGGUUUUAAAUAAGAAUACUGCAGGAGAUGAUCCCCCUAUGAUCCUUGUUAAUGUAUCUCUAGGCUAAUAAGUACGGAGAUGAUCCUGCUCUUUGAUUUCAUGAAUAAGAAAAUAAAAUGGGAAAUGCAUGACAUUU